rnacentral:miRNA from 1 species
UGACUAGAUAACACAUUCGUCU